rnacentral:rRNA from 1 species
UACGUAUGGUGCAAGCGUUAUCCGGAUUUACUGGGUGUAAAGGGAGCGUAGGCGGCGCGUUAAGUCUGAUGUGAAAACCCGAGGCUCAACCACGGGAGUGCAUUGGAAACUGGCGGGCUGGAGUGCCGGAGAGGUAAGCGGAAUUCCUAGUGUAGCGGUGAAAUGCGUAGAUAUAUGGAAGAACACCAGUGGCGAAAGCGGCUCUCUGGUCUGUAACUGACGCUGAGGUUCGAAAGCGUGGGUAGCAAACAGG